rnacentral:misc_RNA from 1 species
UUUCCGUAGGUGAACCUGCGGAAGGAUCAUUAAAGAGAUCAUGCCCUCUCGGGUAGACCUCCCACCCUUUGUUUACAAUACCUUUGUUGCUUUGGCGGGCCCGUUUGGCCCCGCGCUGAACAACCGGCCCCGGCUGGUCAGUGCCCGCCAGAGAACCGAAAACUCUGAAUUAAAUGUCGUCUGAGUACUAUGUAAUAGUUAAAACUUUCAACAACGGAUCUCUUGGUUCUG